CCCGUGCUCGCACCUGCCUUGGGACUCUAGACUCCACCGGAGCUGCCUCGCGCGUCUCGGUGUAUCUGGAUUAACGGAAUGGAUUAGGGAUCUAAAACGCCCCUUUCCCAUGUCGAAGCAGGAGAUGAAGAAGCAGCACCCUCCUCUUUCUCACUAGGAUGUCCAGAGAGAGAUCAGAGAGGGGGAGUAACUGGGGGCUACACUAUGAUGGAGCCCUGAUACAGAAGACAGAGCACCGUUAAAUGGAGGAGCGGGACAGAAGCCGCUCCCCGUCCCGCAGGACCAGUCGGGUGGAGCAGGUGGUGGGACGAUGGCUACGACGCUCCAGGGACUCCAGCAGCAGAGAGCGUAUCCUGGUAGAUGGGAAGGCGGCUGCGGGGGGAGAGUCUAGCGGUCAGGACCAGAAGAACAACUACCCGGUUAGACUGAC